rnacentral:pre_miRNA from 1 species
CUCUAUCGCGUCCUCAUUGUACAUGCUGUGUGUAUUUGCCACAUACACAGCGCAUGCAAUGUGGACAUGUUGGAG